rnacentral:ncRNA from 1 species
GGAAUAUGUUCAAUUUAAACAAAAGCAACUGGUAUUGAUGUGAUGUAAUUUCUGUCCAGUCCUUUCAACGUCCGAGUGAAGAAAUUCAAUGAAGGUAAAUAAAUAACAGUGACUACAACUCUCUUAAGGUAGCCAAAUGCCUCAUCAUCUAAUUAGUCACAUACGAAUGAAGGACCAAGAUUCC